UCCUAAUCAUGGCAUACCUUAGUUGCCUGC
rnacentral:piRNA from 1 species